rnacentral:rRNA from 1 species
UACGAGGGGGGCAAAUGUUGUUCGGAAUCACUGGGCGUAAAGGGAGCGUAGGCGGGCUCUUAAGUUAGGUGUUUAAUCCCGGGGCCCAACCCCGGUCGUGCACUUAAAACUGGGAGUCUUGAAUAGUGGAGAGGUCAGUGGAAUUGGGGGUGUAGCGGUGGAAUGCGUAGAGAUCCCCAAGAACACCAGUUGCGAAGGCGGCUGACUGGACACAUAUUGACGCUGAGGCUCGAAAGCAUGGGAGCAAACAGGG